AUUGAACGCUGGCGGCAUGCCUAACACAUGCAAGUCGAGCGGACGAAGGAGGCUUGCUCCUCUAUUCAGCUACCGACGGGCGAGUAAUUCCUACGUAUCUACCCUGUAUUGGGGGCUAACGUCCGGUAACGGGACCUAAUAUCGCAUACGUUCAGAGGGAGAAACUGAUGGAUCUUCGGACCUCACCCUAUCAGAUGAGCCUAGGUCGUAUUAGCUAGUUGGUUUGGUAAAGGCCUACCAAGGCGACGAUCCGUAACUGCUCUGAGAGGAUGAUCAGUCACACUGGAACUGAGACACGGUCCAGACUCCUACGGGAGGCAGCAGUGGGGAAUAUUGGACAAUGGGCGAAAGCCUGACCCAGCAACGCCGCGUGUGUGAAGAAGGUCUUCGGAUUGUAAAGCACUGUAAGUUGGGAGGAAGGACAGUAUGAUAAUCCCUUGAUGUUUUGACGUUACCAACAGAGAAAGCAACGGCUAACUUCGUG
rnacentral:rRNA from 1 species